AAGUCGUAACAAGGUAACCGUAGGUGAACCUGCGGUUGGAUCAUUAGCGAGAUUGCCGUGCGCGCCAGACCCGCAAGGUUUGUGCGCGUGCGAGCAAGCGCCAUCCUUGUGUUAUGUGUGUGAUGUCGCAUGUGCCCACACUUCUCUCGGGGGGGAGUGAGCACGUGCGCACAUUUUUUUCACCCAUUAUUAUUCGCAUUUUAUUCUAAUCCACUGCUCAUACGAGCACAAACAACCGAAAACUGCCAGCAAUGGAUCACUCGGUUCUC
rnacentral:misc_RNA from 1 species